rnacentral:rRNA from 1 species
UACGAAGGGGGCUAGCGUUGCUCGGAAUCACUGGGCGUAAAGCGCACGUAGGCGGAUUGUUAAGUCAGGGUGAAAUCCUGGAGCUCAACUCCAGAACUGCCUUUGAUACUGGCGAUCUUGAGUCCGGGAGAGGUGAGUGGAACUGCGAGUGUAGAGGUGAAAUUCGUAGAUAUUCGCAAGAACACCAGUGGCGAAGGCGGCUCACUGGCCCGGUACUGACGCUGAGGUGCGAAAGCGUGGGAGCGAACAGG